rnacentral:rRNA from 1 species
GAUGAACGCUAGCGGCAGGCCUAACACAUGCAAGUCGAGGGGUAAGGUAGCAAUAUCUGAGACCGGCGCACGGGUGCGUAACGCGUAUGCAAUCUACCUUUUACAGAGGGAUAGCCCAGAGAACUUUGGAUUAAUACCUCAUAGCAUAGCAGCUUCGCAUGAAGUCACUCUUAAAGUUCCAACGGUAAAAGAUGAGCAUGCGUCCUAUUAGCUAGAUGGUAAGGUAACGGCUUACCAUGGCUACGAUAGGUAGGGGUCCUGAGAGGGAGAUCCCCCACACUGGUACUGAGACACGGACCAGACUCCUACGGGAGGCAGCAGGGAGGAAUAUUGGACAAUGUGCGCAAGCCUGAUCCAGCCAUGCCGCGUGCAGGAAGACGCAUCUAUGGUGUGUAAACUGCUUUUGUACGGGAAGAAACCCUCCUACGUGUAGGAGCUUGACGGUACCGUAAGAAUAAGGAUCGGCUAACUCCGUGCCAGCAGCCGCCGUAACAC